UCUCGUCUGUCAAUGUCACAAUUUGAAAUGGGGUCUCAUUCGAAAUGACAGUGCCAUAUUCAGAUGGAUUUAUUCUGUAAAAAUCUCAGCCAGGAAACUCUGUUUGGAUGUUGGAAUCGGAGGCUUGUCAGAUUCAGAAUGUUACAUCACAGUUUGGUUUGGGCACCCUGCAGGGCAUGUGAAAGACCAGGUAAAAAGAAAAAUAACAAGGGAGGGGGCGGAGAAUUAAGUAUGUGAAAAGCAAAAGAAAAAGUCAUCUGACUACGGUCAUGCUGGGGUGCUGCCUUCAGUCAAAAAAAUCAACCCCAGGACUUAUUCUUUUGUAAGCCUAGUACUUAUUCUAUCAGGAUGACUCAUAUUUGCCAGCUGAGUGGACUGGGGUAAUGUGAAAUGAAGUGUUUUGCUCAAGAACACAAUGUGUCGCCCUGUACAGGAAUCGAAACCAAAACCUUACGGUCAUGAGUCCAACACCCUUAACCACUAAGCCACGUGCCUCCACAGCCCUGCAUCACCUCCUCCGAUAUCAGUCAGUGUUUAAGGCCUUUCUUUAGAUCUUUGUGACAGCACCGACCAAAUGGCCACCACAGGCAAUGGGUGGUGAUGUCUUGCUUUCCCAGACAAACUCAUUAA